GAGAUUAUGAAAGGUUACAGAGGGAGAAAGCAUGAGCUCCAGCUAGCCAUGUUUCUUGUUCGUAGUGCAAGAGUUCUACGGGUUAUGAAAUUCCUGUGUGAGAAUGACUGCAACCCUUCAUGGUUGACAAACCAAAAAGGCGAUUACUGUUGGACAACAGGGCAUCAUUAGGGGCUCAAUUUGUUUUUCAGAAGUUCACCAAGAGCUCAUCAGGUUUCUAAAGCAAGCAAUGAUGUAGCUUAUUUAGAAACCAGUGACAUAUGAUUGUUGCUCAGCAGGUUGAGAAAGACUUGAAUGGUUCCGCCACAGAAUCAAUUGCUGCUGACAAAAAGCUUGGCAUUUUUGAUAAAAUAUUUUCUGCAUACCAUAAUGCUCGGAGCUGCAUCUGCAAUGACCUGGCUUCUGCUGGCAAUGCUGAGAAUAUAAGAGAUGACUUGAAUGGUCUUGACAAGGCUGUUAGUGCUGUUUUAGGAUUGAGGACAAUAGAAUGCAACCAGUUACUUGCUAGCAUUGCUAAAAGUAAAUUUACAUAGCAACGAG